UGGAAUUUGAUCAUGUUUUAAUUCUUCUGUUUCACGAUCCAAUUUGGCUGUGUUCUUUGUAGUCACAUGCUGUCUAUUUGCUCCACCACCCCCUAAUCAAAAAUAUUUUUGUUUUAGAAUUUAUGGGUUUGUUCAGAAAAAAUGAUGGUAUGGUAUUAUGCUAAAAUAUAAUAAAAUGCUUCUAAGAUUUUUUUAUGUUUAGAAAUGAAGAAUGUUAUCUCAAUUAAAAUCUUGUUUAGUAAAACAUCUACAAUAUUAUCUAUUUCUGUUAUUUAUGCAAUAUACUAAUAAGAUAUAAUAGAUAUAACCUUACAUAUUUACCAUACACAAUAAGACAUGCACUCGUUUUCUAACAGUUUUAAGCUUUUUUAUCUGACUAUAUUACUCAAUAUGAUACAAUAAUAAUAGAAUUGCAUGCAACUUUUUUAUUGCAACUGUGCUGGCAUUUAUAUACAU